UUUUUUUCUGUGUUGGUGUUGUGUACUCAGGUGAAUAUGAUAUAUAAUAAUCAUAUUCACCUGAGUACACAACACCAACACAGAAAAAAAAGUCUCGUGUA
rnacentral:miRNA from 1 species